AGCUAUAUAAGUGCGCCAUUUACCUUUUACCAUUUACUUUUAAGAUCUAAAACUGUUUAAGUCCAAUAAGCAAGCUUAAUAAAUUAUAUAAAUUCAUUUUUCUGUAACUGUGAUUUUUUUGGUCGUGACAUUAUCUCUAAUAAAUAUUCAAAACAAAAAGACACAACCAAUGAUAUUAGUUAUACCACAGCCCUGUAGAAUUCCCAAUACUGAUUAUUCUGAAGGGCAAAUUUGAUCAUUCUAACAUGAUGAUGGAUCAACGGCAUCACACCACUCUGAAGCUGAAACAAAACAAACAAACAAACAAAAAAGACAAUAGUCAAUUAGUGUGUAUAGAUGCAUUUAUGCAUUAUGAUAAAAUGAAAAUAAAGUCACACACACAUUAAUAAGGUACAUUGGUCGUGAUAUGUGGGAUUGCGAUGAUCAAAUUUCCCCUAAGAUAAGAAGUGUCUUUAUGCAAAUGUCCUUCCCUGUUAUAUAUUUAAGCAAUGGAGACCAAGAGCUUUUACUUAUUCUGCUUCAUCACGCACAAUGAUCUCUACAUCCCUACUGCUGCUGCUGCUGGCAGCCAUACACUGUGUUCAGUGUGUUGAGCUGAUCCAGCCCGGAUCCAUGGUAUUAACCCCUGGUCAGUCAAUGACUCUGACCUGCAAAUCACAUGGAUAUUCAUUAACAAGUACCUACUGUACAGACUGGAUACGACAACCUGCAGGAAAAGCUCUGGAGUGGAUCGAAGAGAUAUGUUAUGAUGGUAACACUUACUACAGUGAGAAACUGAAAAGCAGGUUUCAGAUUUCCAGAGACACAUCCAGCAGCACAGUAAUAUUAACAGGGCAGAGAAUGCAGACUGAAGACACAGCUGUGUAUUACUGCGCUCGUGAUCCACAGUGAGAUAGAUCAACAACAUCCCUGUACAAAAAGAUCCUGUACAGAAAACUGUCUUAUUCCUUACUGAAUAUAUCACUGAGCUCCUCUUCUUCUGUUGUAGUUUAGGUAAAGGUCUGUAUAAACUAAACCAUCUCUAAUUGCUCAUUAAUAUACAUUUAGCUUCUCUCUCCUCACAGACUGCAAUGAUUUACCAUCAUCUCACUCACAUUAAACAAAUGACCUGCACAUCCUCUGGGUUUAACUUUGGUGGCUCUUGGAUGGCUUGGAUCAGACAGGCGCCUGGAACAGUGCUGGAAUUUGUUGCAAUUUUCUCAGACACCAGUGGCAGCAAGUAUUACACGCGCACACACACACACACACAGGAGUUCGUCUGUCGAUUUUGACGAAGACAGAAGUUUCCAAUUCCACCUCCAAUUAUGGAUAACACAAACACAUACUGGGACUCGACUUGCAUAUGAAUUGGAUUAAAGUGAGGAAGACUUAGGUCUCACUCUCACUUCCCGGUGA